rnacentral:rRNA from 1 species
AGCGAACGUUUGCGGCGGGCCUAACACAUGCAAGUCGAACGCACUAGCAAUAGUGAGUGGCGCACGGGUGCGUAACACGUGGGUAAUCAACCCUUCAGCCUGGGAUAACGACUCGAAAGGGUCGCUAAUACUGGAUACGGCGCGAGAGGCUUCGGCUUCUCACGAGAAAGCCACGCAAGGGGCACUGAAGGACGAGCCUGCGGCCCAUCAGCUAGUUGGUGAGGUAAGAGCUCACCAAGGCUAAGACGGGUAGCUGGUCUGAGAGGAUGAUCAGCCACACUGGAACUGAGACACGGUCCAGACUCCUACGGGAGGCAGCAGUGGGGAAUAUUGCGCAAUGGGCGAAAGCCUGACGCAGCCACGCCGCGUGAGCGAUGAAGGCCUUCGGUCGUAAGACUCUGUGGGAGGAGACGAAGAAAGACCACGGCGUAACUUACGUGCCAGCAGCCGCGGUAAAGU